UACGUAGGGCGCAAGCGUUAUCCGGAAUUAUUGGGCGUAAAGAGCUCGUAGGCGGUUUGUCGCGUCUGCUGUGAAAAACCCGAGGCUCAACCUCGGGCCUGCAGUGGGUACGGGCAGACUAGAGUGCGGUAGGGGAGAUUGGAAUUCCUGGUGUAGCGGUGGAAUGCGCAGAUAUCAGGAGGAACACCAAUGGCGAAGGCAGAUCUCUGGGCCGUAACUGACGCUGAGGAGCGAAAGCAUGGGGAGCGAACAGG
rnacentral:rRNA from 1 species